UACGAAGGGGGCUAGCGUUGUUCGGAAUUACUGGGCGUAAAGCGCACGCAGGCGGAUUGAUAAGUCAGGGGUGAAAUCCCGGGGCUUAACCUCGGAAUUGCCUUUGAUACUGUCUGUCUUGAGUCCGGGAGAGGUGAGUGGAAUUCCUAGUGUAGAGGUGAAAUUCGUAGAUAUUAGGAAGAACACCAGUGGCGAAGGCGGCUCACUGGCCCGGAACUGACGCUCAUGUGCGAAAGCUAGGGGAGCAAAUGGG
rnacentral:rRNA from 1 species